rnacentral:rRNA from 1 species
GCAUAUCAAUAAGCGGAGGAAAAGAAACCAACAGGGAUUGCCCUAGUAACGGCGAGUGAAGCGGCAACAGCUCAAAUUUGAAAUCUGGCUCUCGGGCCCGAGUUGUAAUUUGUAGAGGAUGCUUUUGAUGCGGUGCCUUCCGAGUUCCCUGGAACGGGACGCCAUAGAGGGUGAGAGCCCCGUCUGGUUGGAUGCCAAAUCUCUGUAAAGCUCCUUCAACGAGUCGAGUAGUUUGGGAAUGCUGCUCUAAAUGGGAGGUAUAUGUCUUCUAAAGCUAAAUACCGGCCAGAGACCGAUAGCGCACAAGUAGAGUGAUCGAAAGAUGAAAAGCACUUUGAAAAGAGAGUUAAAAAGUACGUGAAAUUGUUGAAAGGGAAGCGUUUAUGACCAGACUUGGACUUGGUUAAUCAUCUGGGGUUCUCCCCAGUGCACUUUUCCAGUUCAGGCCAGCAUCAGUUUUCCCCGGGGGAUAAAGGCGGCGGGAAUGUGGCUCUCUUCGGGGAGUGUUAUAGCCCGCCGUGUAAUACCCUGGGGGGGGACUGAGGUUCGCGCAUCUGCAAGGAUGCUGGCGUAAUGGUCAUCAACGACCCGUCUUGAAACACGGACCAAGGAGUCGUCUUCGUAUGCGAGUGUUCGGGUGUCAAACCCCUACGCGUAAUGAAAGUGAACGCAGGUGAGAGCUUCGGCGCAUCAUCGACCGAUCCUGAUGUUCUCGGAUGGAUUUGAGUAAGAGCAUACGGGGCCGGACCCGAAAGAAGGUGAACUAUGCCUGUAUAGGGUGAAGCCAGAGGAAACUCUGGUGGAGGCUCGCAGCGGUUCUGACGUGCAAAUCGAUCGUCAAAUAUGGGCAUGGGGGCGAAAGACUAAUCGAACCUUCUAGUAGCUGGUUUCCGCCGAAGU